UACGUAGGGUCCGAGCGUUGUCCGGAAUUAUUGGGCGUAAAGAGCUCGUAGGCGGUUUGUCGCGUCUGCUGUGAAAACCCGAGGCUCAACCUCGGGCCUGCAGUGGGUACGGGCAGACUAGAGUGCGGUAGGGGAGAUUGGAACUCCUGGUGUAGCGGUGGAAUGCGCAGAUAUCAGGAAGAACACCGAUGGCGAAGGCAGAUCUCUGGGCCGUUACUGACGCUGAGGAGCGAAAGCAUGGGGAGCGAACAGG
rnacentral:rRNA from 1 species